rnacentral:rRNA from 1 species
UACGUAGGUGGCAAGCGUUAUCCGGAUUUAUUGGGCGUAAAGGGAACGCAGGCGGUCUUUUAAGUCUGAUGUGAAAGCCUUCGGCUUAACCGGAGUAGUGCAUUGGAAACUGGGAGACUUGAGUGCAGAAGAGGAGAGUGGAACUCCAUGUGUAGCGGUGAAAUGCGUAGAUAUAUGGAAGAACACCAGUGGCGAAGGCGGCUGUCUGGUCUGCAACCGACGCUGAGGCUCGAAAGCAUGGGUAGCGAACAGG